rnacentral:rRNA from 1 species
UACGUAGGGUCCGAGCGUUGUCCGGAGUUACUGGGCGUAAAGCGCGCGCAGGCGGCCCGGCAAGCAUGGCGUGAAAGCCCCCGGCUCAACCGGGGAGGGUCGUCGUGGACUGCUGGGCUUGAGGGCGGUAGGGGUUGGUGGAAUGCCCGGUGUAGUGGUGAAAUGCGUAGAGAUCGGGCGGAACACCCGUGGCGAAGGCGGCCAACUGGGCCGACCCUGACGCUGAGGCGCGAAGGCGUGGGGAGCGAACAGG